rnacentral:snRNA from 1 species
GUGUUUACUUCGGCAGCACAUAUACUAAAAUUGGAACGAUACAGAGAAGAUUUGCAUGGACCCUCUGCAAGGGUGACACACAAAUUCGUGAAGCAUUGUCUGUGUGU